CAUAGUUUAAUACCUCUUGCCGGACAUUUGGAUUCUUUGAUAUGAAACUAGCUUGUAUCAUUUUGAUUUUAGUACUAAACACUGGGGAAACAUCAAGUCAGGGAUAUUGUUCGGCUAAUGAGAAUGGAUGUUGUGUAAAUCAUUACAAUAUCGGUACUGAAUGCAUAGAGUGUUCUCCGGGAUAUUUUGGUUACAACUGCUCUUUAACAUGUCCGCCGGGAUAUUUCGGACAACUUUGUUUAUCUAAGUGUACAUGUAACCUGACGCUGUGUAACCACGUGACUGGAUGUGGUGAUUAUUAAUUAAUACUUUACUAUCUAUAGAUAAAUGGCGAAAAUAAUUCAAUGUCAAUAUAAAAUAUUUUAAAAAAACUCUUUA